UUGGGUUUUCGAGACAUCGAGCUGUUUAACCUCGCUCUGCUGGCAAGACAAGCGUGGAGAAUCCUACAAACACCUGAAUCCCUAAGUGCAAAAAUUCUGAAAGCGCGCUACUUUCCAACGACAGACUUUCUUGAUGCAUCCCUAGGUAACCAACCAUCACAAAUUUGGCGAGCGAUCGUGGAGGGCAAGGAGAUCCUAUCGCAGGGUCUCAUCAAACGCAUAGGUGAUGGUCGGGAUACAUUGAUAUGGCAGCAUAACUGGAUACACAAAGAGGCGUCACUCAGACCUAUAGUAUGCUUGAGCCAACAUCGGCCGCAGUUCGUGUCUGAACUCAUUGACAGCGCAAAUGCCAGGUGGAAGCAGGACGUAGUUCGUGCAACUUUCCUUCCAAUUGAUGCGGAGGUGAUCCUCAAUAUUCCUCUAGCCACAAGACACUGCAGAGAUUCUUGGGCUUGGGCUCAUGAACAUAAGGGUGCCUUCUCCGUCCGCUCGGCAUAUCGGAUGCUAAUCAACACGAAGCUCGGGCGGGAGGCUUGGCUCGAAGGACGAUCCGGCCCGGCUGACAGGCAGAGAGAGGAAGCCAGCUGGUCCAAUAUCUGGAAGGUUGCGGUGCCGUCAAAACUGAAGGUAUUCCUGUGGAGACUUGCACAAUGCUCUAUACCCACGGCGGAUGUACUUCAUCAUCGUAAUAUGUCCACAUCGUCGCGGUGUGCCAUCUGUGGAAAGGAGGACUCAUGGAUGCACUCACUCAUAACGUGCACAAUGGCGCGGUGCGUGUGGGCGCUAGAUGACCCGGAGUUGGUUGAGCAUAUCAUCGCAACAGCAGAACCGAAUGCAAAGGCUUGGCUUUUCAGUAUGCAAGAAUCGAUGCCGCAUUCCGAGUUCACGAAGCUAGCUGUGACACUAUGGGCUAUAUGGGGUGCACGGCGUAAGCUGAUCCACGAAGGGGAGCACCAGAGCCCCAUGGGGACUCACUCAUUUAUCAAACGCUUUCUGGCAGAUUUGAGUAUUGUUUCUAUGUCACAUGAAAUAACGAAGCCGAGAACAGCCCCAGAGCGGACGCAUGUGUGGAUUCCACCACCGGCGGGUCAUCACAAGGUUAAUGUCGACGCUGCUAUAUGUAAACAACCUCCUGUCGGGGCCAUAAGUGCGGUUUGCCGGGAUCAAUCAGGAACUUUUGCUGGGUCAGCAUCGGUGGUAUUCCAUGGCAUGACCGAUCCACAUAUACUGGAAGCUUUGGCAUGCCGCGAGGCUAUUGCAUUAGCCAGGGACCUUGCACUUACUCAUUUGAAGGUAGCUUCUGAUUGCCUUGCGGUGGUCAAGGACAUACAUACUGGCACUAUGGGUACAAUCGCUCCAAUUGUGGAGGAGAUCAUCGACUCGAGUAGGGAGUUUCAG
rnacentral:rRNA from 1 species